rnacentral:rRNA from 1 species
UACAGAGGAGCCAAGCGUUGUCCGGAUUGACUGGGCGUAAAGCGCACGCAGGCGGCACCGCGCGUGGGGUGUGAAAUCUGGCCGCUUAACGGCCAGGCGCCAUCCCAUACGGCGGAGCUGGAGUGAUGCAGAGGUCGGUGGAAUUCCUGGUGUAGCGGUGAAAUGCGCAGAUAUCAGGAGGAACACCAGCGGCGAAGGCGGCGCUCUGGGCCGGAACUGACGCUGAGGAGCGAAAGCGUGGGUAGCAAACAGG